rnacentral:rRNA from 1 species
UACGAGGGGGGCGAGCGUUGUUCGGAAUUAUUGGGCGUAAAGGGCGCGUAGGCGGUGCGGUAAGUCACCUGUGAAAAACCCGCAGCUCAACUGUGGGCUUGCAGCUGAUACGGGCAGGCUUGAGUUCGGUAGGGGAGACUGGAAUUCCUGGUGUAGCGGUGAAAUGCGCAGAUAUCAGGAGGAACACCGGUGGCGAAGGCGGGUCUCUGGGCCGAUACUGACGCUGAGGAGCGAAAGCGUGGGGAGCGAACAGG